ensembl:lncRNA
AGGGAAGGGAGGAGGAGAGAGAAAUGGUGUCAGGCAGCGGCUGUGCAGUCAGGCUGAUGGGGAUUUUAGUUAAGAGACUCUGCCUAUUAGUACCUGUUUGAACAAAGAGUUGAGCCUGCAGUAAGAAGAAAAAUAUCCCCAGAGGAUCCAAGUUCUAUUCAAAAGUGAUGCUCUUUGGCUUAGCGCUGAAUUCUUUUUAAAAAUUACGGUGAGGAAGCCUAGAUGAAGGAAAUGAGAUCAUAUGCCAAAAGUCACAGAGCCAAGAAGAGGUGGCAGAGCUAGGAUUUGACCCAAGGGCAUCUGGUUUAGGGUGGAUAUUCUUACUUGCAAUAAUCAACUUUCCCUGAAUCCUGGCUUUAUUUGAUGAUGAAGGUCCAUCACCUCCUCCAAUUCUACAUCUUCCUGUCAUCAUAUGCUAUUCAAUAAUGGGAUCAAAGAUAGACUAUUUAUAAUUGGAAGUUUAUCAGUGUUAUGGCCUAUAUCUAGAUGUCCCUCUAAAGCCUCAUGUACUCAUAGGUGGGGCUUUUGGGAGGUGACCGGAUCAUGGGCAUGUGAUACUGGAUUAUGGAUGGGUAAUACUGGAUUAGUUCACUGAUUGGUUUAGCAUAGUGCUGGGUGUGGAUGGUCGAUUUACUGGAGAAGGAUGACACCAACCAAUAGGCUUGUAGUGUGGAUGGAAUAAAAAGAGAAAGGGAGGCUCGCUGCUUCGUGCCUGCCAUCCCAUGAGCUCUUUCUUGUCUACUACAGCCCCUCUGCCAUGCCACCCUGCCUUGGAGCCAGCCAAUUAUGGACCAAAACCUCUUUGAACUAUGAGCCAAUUAUGGACUGAACUGAAAUCCCUACAAACUUCCCUCCUUUAAAUUGCGCAGUUGGGUAUUUUGUCUUAGUAAUGACAAAGGAACUAAGACAAUCAGUGCUUACAUUGGAUGAAAUCAAUACAUCAAUGACUAGGUAAAUACCUCAGGACUGAGAACUACAAACUUUCUAGCUCAGUGGAAAUCACGGGCUAAGUUUGCAUGCUUGUAAUCCCAGCAAUCUGGGAGUCUGAGACAGGAAGAUCACAAGUUUGGGCAAUUUAGCAGCUUAGCCAGGCUCUGUCUCAAAAAUUUAAAGAAAGAACAAAAGAAAGAAAGAAAGAGUGACACAGAGAGAGAGAGAGAGG